rnacentral:rRNA from 1 species
CAAAGCCCAAAGCGCCUGAGGAUAAGUCUGCGGCCUAUCAGGUAGUAGUGGGUGUAACGGACCCACUAGCCGGCGACGGGUACGGGCCUUGAAAGAGGUAGCCCGGAGAUGGACUCUGAGACACGAGUCCAGGCCCUACGGGGCGCAGCAGGCGCGAAAACUUCGCAAUGCGGGAAACCGUGACGAGGGAAUCCCGAGUGCUCAUACAAUGUAUGGGCUUUUCUGAUGUGUAAAAAGCAUCAGGAAUAAGGGCUGGGUAAGACCGGUGCCAGCCGCCGCGGUAAUACCGGCAGCUCGAGUGGUAGCCACUUUUAUUGGGCCUAAAGCGUCCGUAGCCUGUCAGGUAAAUCCUUGGGUAAAUCGUACAGCUUAACUGUGCGGCUUCCGAGGAGACUGCCCGACUUGGGACCGGGAGAGGUUGGAGGUACUCCUGGGGUAGGGGUGAAAUCCUGUAAUCCUAGGUGGACCACCGGUGGCGAAGGCGUCCAACCAGAACGGCUCCGACGGUGAGGGACGAAGGCUAGGGGCGCAAACCGGAUUAGAUACCCGGGUAGUCCUAGCUGUAAACGCUGCAGACUUGGUGUUGGAGAUCCUACGAGGGUGUCCAGUGCCGGAGAGAAGUUGUUAAGUUUGCCGCCUGGGAAGUAUGGCCGCAAGGCUGAAACUUAA